rnacentral:misc_RNA from 1 species
GUCGUAACAAGGUUUCCGUAGGUGAACCUGCGGAAGGAUCACUAACACGUAUCCAACGUUAAAACAACCCCGUGAACUUUCAGCUUGCUCCCGUAGCCCGUGACAGCAGCAAUCCCUGGUAAAUCAUUGUUGCCGGCUUUUGAGUCAGACCUCUGCCGAUAGUGAUUGCAUCUAGUGACCUGGCAUCAGGUAAUCAGUGUUCUGAAAGUGUCAUUAAGGAUGACAGUCACGAUCGCUGUAGGCCCACACGGCCGGCGACCGGGUCACGGCUCUGCCCCUUUAUCACCACUUAAUGCAUGACAGACGCGCCAGCGCUUAAUUGUGCGGCGACCAAAAACCGAACAACUGUUAACAAUGGAUAUCUUGGUUCUC